UUGUGUUUAUUUCUCAGCCAUCUUGCAAGGUACCUCAUUUAAAUAAAUAAUUGAGGUACCUUGCAAAAUGGCUGAGAAAUAAACACAG